rnacentral:tRNA from 1 species
GGUCCGGUAGCUCAGCGGUCAGAGCCCCACAAUCACCAUUGUGGAAGACGGCGGUUCAAAUCCGCCCCGGGUCA